UGGGGAAUAUUGGACAAUGGGCGGAAGCCUGAUCCAGCCAUGCCGCGUGUGUGAAGAAGGCCUUUUGGUUGUAAAGCACUUUAAGCGAGGAGGAGGCUCUUAAGGUUAAUACCCUUGAUGAGUGGACGUUACUCGCAGAAUAAGCACCGGCUAACUCUGUGCCAGCAGCCGCGGUAAUACAGAGGGUGCGAGCGUUAAUCGGAUUUACUGGGCGUAAAGCGUGGGUAGGCGGCUGAUUAAGUCGGAUGUGAAAUCCCUGAGCUUAACUUAGGAAUUGCAUUCGAUACUGGUCAGCUAGAGUAUGGGAGAGGAUGGUAGAAUUCCAGGUGUAGCGGUGAAAUGCGUAGAGAUCUGGAGGAAUACCGAUGGCGAAGGCAGCCAUCUGGCCUAAUACUGACGCUGAGGUAGGAAAGCAUGGGGAGCAAACAGGAUUAGAUACCCUGGUAGUCCAUGCCGUAAACGAUGUAUACUAGCCGUUGGGGCCUUUGAGGCUUUAGUGGCGCAGCUAACGCGAUAAGUAGACCG
rnacentral:rRNA from 1 species